rnacentral:rRNA from 1 species
GAUGAACGCUAGCGGCAGGCUUAAUACAUGCAAGUCGAGGGGCAGCACGAAUAGCAAUAUUUGGUGGCGACCGGCAAACGGGUGCGGAACACGUACGCAACCUUCCUUUAAGUGGAGAAUAGCCCGGGGAAACCCGGAUUAAUACUCCGUAAUAUUAUGAUGUGGCAUCACUUUAUAAUUAUAGAUUCAUCGCUUAAAGAUGGGCGUGCGCCUGAUUAGGUAGUUGGCGGGGAACGGCCCACCAAGCCUGCGAUCAGUAACUGGUGUGAGAGCACGACCAGUCACACGGGCACUGAGACACGGCCCAGACUCCUACGGGAGGCAGCAGUGGGGAAUAUUGCGCAAUGGGCGGAAGCCUGACGCAGCGACGCCGCGUGGGGGAUGAAGGCCU